rnacentral:lncRNA from 1 species
UUGCAGCAGGCUACUGCAUGUACUCAAGCUCUGUGAUUUUUGUGGUCACCUUGGGAAACGGCGUCUUUGCCUUCAAUUUGGAUCCGAUGUAUGGAGAAUUCGUUCUGACCCAAGAAAACAUCCAAAUACCAAAAUCUGGAAAGAUCUAUUCGUUCAACGAAGGAAACUACCAGCUUUGGGAUGACAAACUGAAGAAAUACAUCGAUGACUUGAAGGACCCUGGUCCUAGCGGCAAGCCUUACUCUGCUAGGUACAUUGGUAGUUUGGUUGGUGACUUCCAUAGAACUCUUCUAUAUGGUGGCAUUUAUGGCUAUCCUAGAGAUAAAAAGAGUAAGAAUGGAAAGUUGAGGCUUUUGUAUGAGUGUGCCCCUAUGAGCUUCCUCGUGGAACAAGCUGGUGGCAAAGGAUCCGAUGGCCACCAAAGAGUUCUUGAUAUCCAACCAACUGAGGUUAGAAUCAAAUUACUGCUACAUCUGUGACCAAUAAGCGAAUAUGUCAGUCAGUUAAUUUGGUGUUUCUUUUGUUUCUAACUUUGCAGAUACACCAGCGAGUCCCAUUGUACAUUGGAAGCACAGAAGAAGUUGAAAAGUUGGAGAAGUAUUUAUCUUAAUUCGGAAAACCAAGGUGAAAGUGGAAAUCGAGGUUGUCUUGAUGUGACCACUUUCAGAUCAUUUUGUAAGCAAGACAAGACUG